rnacentral:rRNA from 1 species
GUCCACGCCGUAAACGAUGGAUGCUAGAUGUCGCGGGUAUUGACCCCUGCGGCGUCGAAGUUAACGCAUUAAGCAUCCCGCCUGGGGAGUACGGCCGCAAGGUUAAAACUCAAAGGAAUUGACGGGGGCCCGCACAAGCGGUGGAGCAUGUGGUUCAAUUCGACGCAACGCGCAGAACCUUACCUGGGUUAAAUCCAUUCGAAUCCCGCAGAGAUGUAGGAGUGCUCGCAAGAGAGCGAAUGAGAAGGUGCUGCAUGGCUGUCGU